rnacentral:lncRNA from 1 species
GUGCGUAUUGUUGAAUUCCUGUCCAUAAUGUGCUUAUCAAAUUAAAAGGGUGCUAAAGAACUUAUUGUUCAAGACCAAUCGGUCAAUUCAUGUUUAUAUCAUGGUCAUUACUAUCGAUUCACUUGUUUGAAUUAUUUUUUUUAAUCAUGUAUGUUGAUAUUUUUUUAUAUAUAUGCAGUCUAGUACAUUUUUGGUAUUAUGACUUUGUUUUAUAGGUACAUGUAUUUACAUGUAUGCCCCAAUUUUUUUU